UCUGUGAUAGUUACUGAGGCCAUUCAAAAGCUGAGCUCUUCAACUCCCAUUUCUGUGAAAUUACGCUCAGGAAAUCAUAGAAGAGGAGAAAAAUGGCAAGGGAAAAGCGGCUUGCGGUAUCAUUUUCUCCAGGGAAGGGAAGAUGCAGCAAUCUUCCUUCCAAACACCCCAGCAAAAAGCGAAGAGUUACCGAGCUGCUGGAACUACGGCCAGGAGUACCAGGAAGCCGCCCCAAAGAUUCAUUGGAAAGCAUUUUCCAUGAAGACUGGGCAGGAUACAGAGAGUGUUAAAGCCAAGGACUGCACGCUAUGAAGGCUUACUGAAGCCCUACGCUUGCCUGACCAGGAAAAGGAAAGUGCUGAAAAUAAGACGUAGGAUGGGUUUAAACCGGAUGACACUGAAGGUCAUCUCCAUAGUCGCCCAAGUGUGGUUCAGUGAACAAGAUAAAGAGUUGACCUCACAAAUACUUUACGGCAGCUGAAAUCAAAGGAACUAUGAAAAGCAACUGAACAGAGUUCUGUGAAGAGCACACCAAAGAAGACAGCAGUUGGAGAAGCAGAGACGGCUCCCGCCCCUCAGCUCUGUAAACCGUCAGCUGUCAUCACAUUGCGUAGGACCAUGGCGACAAAGGACCACACUGAUGAUAAUACUGCAGCUCACAUGAUUUUAUCCAUUGCCAGGAUUUCUGAAAUCAGAAAUCAGAAACCUCACUUACUGUAUGAUGUGCCAUUAAGUGCUUGAAAACAUAUCUUAUUAAUUAAGUGACGAGGAAAUGACCAGGGCUGGACAGAUGGCUCAGUGAUGAAGAGUACUGGAUGUUCUUCCAGAGAACACAGGUUCGAUUCCCAGCACCCACAUGGUUGCUCACACACAUAUGUAACUCCAGUCCUAGGGGAUCCACCGCCCUCUCCUGGCCUCUGCGGGCAUUGCACCUACAUGGUGUGCAGAUACACAAGCAAGCAAACCACUGAUACACAUAAAAGUAAACAAAAUUUUAAAAGAAAUAAAAUGCUAACUAAAAUUA